AGAAUUUAAUAGAAAAGGAAAUCGGAGGAAAGAGAAUCAGUGUUGUAUUUACAAGAAACAUUCUUGAAUUUCUACGAAUUCGAUCCCUAAUCUUUCGAUCUCGAUGGUAGAUAGCAAACGUGUCAUAAGGCAAAGAUUAAUUAAUGUGCACAAGAUCGAACGGAAUGAUUUAUGAUUUUCUAAUCCGAUCGGGCCAACCUGCGAGCUGAUUUUAACGGUGAGAGAAUGUGAAGUAAAACGAGAGCGGUCGAAAAUAAACGCGGUCGAUCAUAAAUCUCGCGGCGACGAUGUGACAGCGAAUACCAACACCGUUAUCGCUGACAAAUGUCAAUGAUCACAUGGCCAUAAUUCAACGCCACACGACAGAGUCAACAAGUAUCAUCAUUUGUAAAUGUGAUCGAUUGAUCGCACACUUCUUGAAUUCGCGGGAACGAGCGAUCUUCAACGAGAGAUCUUCUUUCGUAAAAAUUUUAUUAAUAAUAAUAAUUAAAUAUUGCACCGCUAUAAAUUCGCGGCAAGAAAAAUGGUGUUUACGAUUGUGAAUGAUUACACUUGAUUGAGAAAAAGAUAAAAGCCGGUUUUCGCUCGAAUUUACACGAGUGAAGAGUAACACACGUUCGUAAGAAUUUUACAAGUUUCUCCAAAGGAAAAUAAAUUUAUGGGAAAGCUGAUAGAAGUGCGAUAGAAUGAAUAAAGACGAUCCGUUAGGAACUUUCUAAAAAUUUUGAAAGUUUUACAAAAAUAUCGUUUCCAAACGCCGCAAAAUUGCAAGUGAACUUCGAUUAAAGACUUUCAUCAAGAAAUGCGUAUUGCCGCGAGCGAUCAUUGAUCACACCGGAUAAAGCAUGAUGGGAGAGGUGAUCCGUGUUUCUGGUAGGCCACCGGACGUCGGGGACAUCUUAAAGGAGGCUAUGCUGUCGCAGAGAUUCGCCGAUGUAGCCUUGUGUUGUCCAGGAGGCCAGAGAUUCCUCGCGCAUCGUCUGGUGUUAUCAGCAGCGAGUCCUUAUCUCCAGGAAGUAUUGUUGGCGCAUAGCAAGGCCACCGCUCAUUGUGAGCCGAUCACGGUGAUCCUAGCUGAAAUGGAAGCGCCGGAACUUGCGGCUCUUCUCGGCUUCGUCUACACCGGAAGUGUCACGGUUCCGCGGAUGCGGUUGGACGCGUUUUUACGCGCUGCCGAGACCCUGCGGAUUCGCUUGCCACCGGUGCCAGUGACAACGACUUGCGGCGAGCGAGUGCAAGCGGACUGUAAACUGGAGGAUGUGAAGGACGUCAAAGUUAAUCCCAAGUAUCUGCGAUGCGAUCAAUAUCCUUGGUGCAGAUCGGGGAGAUCAUCCUACGAAGAUCCGCUCGAUAGAAAGGAGUCCAGGAUUUUUUCGAUGGACGGCAACAGGAACGUUUCUAAGAACAUCGGGACGCUUCGUGAAGUCAAUAAUCCUGGUCCCAGUUCGUUUGAGCCAAGCUGUCCGGGCGGCUGGCCAAUCGAUGGUUUCCUGUAUCAGGAUAGAGCGAUAGAUGCUUCCGCAGAGAAAGAUCACAGCUCGGUGAUAGUCACGGAUAAAAAUCGCAUGAUAGCUCCUAGUAGCGAAUCGUCCUUCGACGUUUAUCAGCGAGACGCGUGUCUUCCUGAUAGAUCGUUCGCGGAAGGAUACGGUAAUAAUCUGGAUUUUUCGGAGAGGAUCAGAAUAUCGGGCUACGAGAGAUCGCAAGUGAAUCGUUCGACAGAGAAGCCGAUGACGGAUGAUGAUGUACGCGUGGCAGACGAGUCUUAUGAAAGGUCACGCGACGGGUACCCCUUCCAGGGCAUGCCGUUGUCGUCCUUGCAGUGUCGGACAAGGUCUUUCGAGAAGACGAUCGAUUACGGCUCGCAGACGACGGCGGGUGAGGAUCUCAGCUGCGGCGAAAGUUGUUGUAGGUGGAGGACCAUCCGCAGGCAUGUGGCCAAUCGCGUCACCGCGUCGCCGUGGCGCCAGAUUAUCAGACCUCAUCAUUCACCGAGAACCCCUCGGUCCAUCGUAUCCCAACGUCAUAUCGAUGAUGAAAUUCAAAAGAAGCCUCUAACUCCAGAACCAACUCGAUCUACGGUAAUAUCGAUGAGUCCGAAGAUCCAUUCCCCGAAUAGGAAUCCAUCGAGAAAUGACGGGUUUUACGCUGUCGAAGUUCCUACCAAUUGCGAGAUGAGCUUUAGCAAUGAUACGAGAUUAUGCGAGACGAUCGGUGCUCCAGAGACGAACAUGCAGGAGAUCUAUCGAUCUCCGCCAGCUCCGUUCGCACCCUGCAAUCAAAUCGCACCGCUUGCGAACUCGUCGAGAAGCAACGAUCCGCCCGUUCGAAACGUCAGCAACACGCCUACGCGAUUAUUGCCUGCCGUUAACGACAGCGUUAUCACGAAUGCCGGCGGAUAUACGACGCCGAUUCCGGUUCCGCAGACGCCGCAGAAACACGAAUUGUCGCAUCCGAUCAGCAGACUCUGCGACACGAUCGAGUCCGACGAGAAGAGGGAGUCCUCGAGGAUGGAGAUGACGAGCACGGAGAAGAAUGAGGAGGAGAGGAUUCUUGUUAAUAGCGAUAAUAACAAUAACAACGAGACGAUCGUCAGGACUAUCGAAACGACUCAGAUAGGACGAUCGGGCGACGAUCACAGGUGUGAUCAGUGCGGGAAGACCUUCGUCACGAGAGCCUCGCUAAAGGUACAUAGCCGAACACACUCGGGCGAGAAGCCGUUCCGUUGCGCUGAUUGCGGCAAACAAUUCUCACAGCUGCGCAACUAUAAGUACCACCGCAGCGUGCACGAGGGCACGCGGGAGUUCGCCGCGACUUGUCCGGAAUGCGGCAAGUACUUCAACGAUCGCGGUUAUCUGAGCUCGCAUAUGAAGAUCCAUCGGAAUCGCAAGGAGUACGGCUGCGCGGAAUGCGGCAAAAGUUUCAACCAACGCGUAGCCUACAACAUGCACGUGCGCAUACAUACGGGCGUGAAGCCGCAUCAGUGCGAGCAAUGCGGCAAAGCGUUUUCGCGGAAGAUGCUGCUCAAGCAACAUCUGAGGACCCAUUCCGGCGAACGGCCGUAUCAGUGCCAGGUCUGCCAGAAAGCGUUCGCCGAUCGCUCCAACAUGACCCUACACACCAGGCUGCACUCCGGUCUGAAGCCGUACCAGUGCAAUCUAUGCUCGAAGGCCUUCACCAAGAAGCACCACCUCAAGACGCACCUCAAUUACCAUACUGGCACUAAGCCAUACUCCUGCUCCAACUGCGGUGGCAGGUUCUCGCAGAGUAGCAACAUGAGGACUCAUUUCAAGAAGUGCAUCGUCAACAACGCUGUCGGAUUAGCCAAAUCCGGCGACGAGAUUGGUGUCGAUCGCGCCGAUCCUGAGGGUAACGUGGCGCCGCAGAUGGUCCUUACGCCGCCCAACUCUGAUCAAGAGUCCAGCAUCUUGACACCGAUACAGAGCAACGCGUAGGGAUCUCUGCUCGAAAAAAGAGACAGAUACUUGUAUUUCGAAAGUUGAUAAAGUUGAUGAAGAAUAAAGUGAAAAUGCUGUUGCGACCGCAUCAUUAUGAUGUUCGAAGGAAGAUGAUGCACUUGGCAGACGUGUUUCUCGCUAAUAAAUUGAUCGGAAAUAGACCGCGAGCUUUCACGCUUUACGUUUGCAAGAGAAUAAAGUGCAAUCGCAACGUACAUCUGAAGUAUAACGGUGCAUCGUGGGCAGAAUAUGUAGACAAUAAAUCGCCGCCGCGAUGGCGUUUCUCUCUCUUGGGGCCAGUGGAAUUAUCAUAAAUCCUGCCACGCGACACAAAUCGCUUAUUAAUAUUCAAAUGAAUUGUGAGUGUAUGACUCUUUCAAAGAUACAUCAUAUUUUUGAAGAAAGUUACGAGACGAGAUUUACCAUUAACAUAUGUAACAUACUAUAAGCCAUAUGUACUUGCGUUCACAUAAAAUAUUUAUCUUCAUUUUAUGCUACCAGAUAUCAAUUUGCAAUUUCAUGUCGACGUGAUUUUAGUUUCU
rnacentral:misc_RNA from 1 species